AAAACAACUCUCGGCAACGGAUAUCUUGGCUCACGCAUCGAUGAAGAACGUAGCAAAAUGCGAUACUUGGUGUGAAUUGCAGAAUCCCGUGAACCAUCGAGUUUUUGAACGCAAGUUGCGCCCGAGGCCACUUGGCUGAGGGCACGUCUGCCUGGGUGUCACGC
rnacentral:rRNA from 2 species